GCCUGGGUGGCUCAGUCAGUUAAGCGUCUGACUUCAGCUCAGGUCAUGAUCUCACGGUAUGUGGGUUUGAGCCCCACGUCAGGCU
rnacentral:tRNA from 1 species